UUAAGUACUCUAAUUAUCCUUUUCUGCUAAUAGAAGUGGUUUCUUUUAUUGUUUUAUGCUAUUUCAUCAAACUUACCUUUUCAUUACUUUUGAACAAACUAUAGCACACAGUCUACCAUCUGUUAUGAUAUUUUUCUUAGACACAACCUCCCCCCUCCUUUUUUUUUUUUCCUUUAACAUUUGCUAAUUGCACAUACUUUCUGCUAGGGAUCUUGCAUGAUUUAAUGUAUCUGUUUCAAGUCUAAGAAAAAGGGCUCAGUUUGAUACUCCCUCCCUCCAGUUCUCUCCUCUUUCCUCUCUCUCUUCCUCUUUCUCCUCAUCUCUCUACAUAGUUUAGAAACUAUGAAUCUUUGUGGUUUCUAGAGGGAGAGGCCAUUACAUUUCUCAGCCUUUUGCAGCUUUCAAGGCAGUUCUGUUUGUAAGAGACAUAGGAAGUUGUAACUAACAAACGUACACAAAUGUGUCUGGAUACAAGAUGCAGCCACUGAAAGCAGUUUGCAGUAUAAAUUUAGAGUUAUUCACAGUUUACCUGAAGCUUAUAAAUGACAGCAGAGAAAUGAGAAAUUUGGUCAUUUUUGUUGCUGAUAAUCUAACUGCUACUGAGAACUAAUGCCAGUUUUAUUAUUCUUUAUUGCAUAUUCCAGCAGAUCAUGUUAUGUACUUAGAUGCCAGUGAAAUAUGUGUUAACUCCCAUAUCUGUUUUGCAAAGUAUAAUUUAUCAUCCUCUUUUUACAGAUGGGAAAAUUGAAGCAUGGAGAGCAGAUGACAAAUGAUCCCCUCACUACCAAGAAAAGAACCAACAACAUUUCAAGUCAUGACCGUGUUUCCACCUUGACAUACAUUGAUAGAACGUCUUACCUGAAUCCAAUAAAUGCCCCAAAAAAGCAAGAUGUAAGAAGGGAAUUGUACAGAACUCUGCAGCAGAGAAAAUUCAACACCCUCCAAGAUGUUACAACAAAAUGGGAGUCCCUGACACACUACAUUGCACGGAUGCUUGUCAAAUAUUGCUCAAAUAGAAGACGUGGAAUAUAUCCAGAAAAUAUAUUCUGAAGGACUGGAAAAUUAAAGAAAGCCGUCCUGACAUUAAGUCAAAUAUGUUGUAGAGAGUCAGUGUUAAAUAGUAAAUAUUUGCAUGGAUCAUGUGCCUGAUCAUUUUGUUGCAGUUGCAGACCAGGUGUUGUAUUGCUUUCUGCACUGACAGCAAACACCAGCUAAGUGCUGCUGAGAGCCUUACUCUAAAAUAUUUUACCUUGGGGUUCAUGAAGAAUGGAAAUAUUUCUGCUAUGAUUUGAUUACAAGAAUACCAUAGAACUGAAAGAGGAUAAUACUCAUAUAAGCAUAUAGUGACAUUCAAGACGUUGGAAAGGCAAGUGUCUACUGUAUCAAGGAAGGGGAAG
rnacentral:lncRNA from 1 species